UGAGUAACACACGAGCAAUCUGCCCUACACAGGGGGAUAACACCGGGAAACUGGUGCUAAUACCGCAUAAGACCACAGUACCGCAUGGUACAGGGGUAAAAACGAAUUAGUGGUGUAGGAUGAGCUCAUGUCCCAUUAGCUAGUUGGUGAGAUAACAGCCCACCAAGGCGACGAUGGGUAGCCGACUUGAGAGAGUGAUCGGCCACAUUGGAACUGAGAUACGGUCCAAACUCCUACGGGAGGCAGCAGUGGGGAAUAUUGGGCAAUGGGCGAAAGCCUUACCCAGCAAUGCCGCGUGAGUGAAGAAGGUCUUCGGAUUGUAAAGCUCUUUGAUUGGGGACGAACAAAUGACGGUACCCAAAGAACAAGCCCCGGCUAACUACGUGCCAGCAGCCGCGGUAAUACGUAGGGGGCAAGCGUUGUCCGGAAUGACUGGGCGUAAAGGGUGUGUAGGCGGUUUUAUAAGUUGGAUGUGAA
rnacentral:rRNA from 1 species